CAGGGUUCAAACAGACAGAGAGUCUGAAAAAUGAGUAGAUAGAUCUAAGUAGUUAGUUAUCGGUUGAUCCAAAUACUAAAACAGAAAUGAAGAAACAGAAAGAAUUAGAAGGUGCUGGAAGAAAAGCGUACAAUAAAUCAAAUUUGUUUGGGUUGUUGCUGAAAAAUACUCAGAAGACCAAAAUGAAAAGGAAGAAGAAGCAAAAUGGUUUAUGCAGUCGGUGAUUAGUGUAUUUGGUACGAGCGAACUCGAAAAAAAUAACCAUUUCUAUCGAAACCAUCACCUUUCUAUAUUUCCUUUGAGAUCGACGUCUAAGAGAUUCAAGAGAUGUAAUGCUUUGGUGAUAUUCAUGAGAAGUGCAGUGAUGUCAACUGAAUUGUUCCGUGUACUCUUGGAUGCUUGGCAUGCAUUAUGGCCAAUAAUGCCGCGGUGCAUGCUUUUCUUAGGUGACAAUAUCAGCAAAAAUGGUCCAACUACGUAUCUUCUCGGCCAUUGAUUUUGCUGUUGCUGCAAGAGCAGGAUAUGUACGUACUAGAUGAACGUUAUAAAAAAAAAGCUACCUUGUGCAUUGCCUGUGGAAUAUUUAGGAACAAGAAAGUUAAAUGGAUAUACAUCGCUAUUUUGGACUACUGAAGAUCAUCAGGUACUUUCCAACCGCAACAUUAGAAGUAGAAGCCACCAGAAAGCCAAGCUCGCAAUGGAUAGGAGGAACUUCUCUCGGUCCGAAGCUUAAAUGGUAUGCAUAUCCAUAUGUUGGUCUUUGCAGUAACUUUUCACUCCUGCAACAUCCUCUUGGCAUAUGAAUCCAGGGCCAUAAGCAUUGAAAGGUUUUGUAUUUUUAUUCUCUGUGUCCUGUUUACAGUCUUAUGAAAAUGCUGGCAAAUUCAACAGUGGGAGAUAAGCCUUUUCUGGCUGGUGCAUAGAGAUUGACUUGGAUACCCUGGUUGUUUCAAAUGAAACCUUUGCUAGGUUGAGAUCUUUGAAUAUUACAUGUUUUCUCUUGGCAUUUUAUUGUUGCGUUUUCUCGUUCUUUUAUGUUAAUAUCACCUUGAUGUCGGUAUUUAUCUCUAACUUACCAGUGGAUGAUUUCAUUUGGAUUCGAUAUAUAUAUGCUCUCAAGCUGGUCAAGAUUGACACACAAUCAUCUGGUUCAGUAUUUAUGAAAUUACUCAGUAACUUUGACUGCUGCAUACACUGCACCCGCAGAAUUGAUAAGAAAUGGAUAUCAUGGUUGUAAGCCGUGUUGGCUGGUACCAGUCACAUUGACGUUCAAUUUUGUAGUAUAGUUAAGAGUUGCAACUUCGUAAUAGUUCUCUAACAACGCUUAUAUGCUGAAAUAACGCGCUUUAGAUAAGCUGUUUUAAUUUUCCCCUAUAAGUCAUUUAUGUAGAAAGUUACCUGGCAUGCAUCUAUCAGUCUACUUUUAUUUCUCAAACUCUGUUAGAAUGAUCUAAGAUUACCUUUGUCCUACACUUCACAGCCAAUUUGACAUACUAUCCUCAGAAAUUAAAUCUUUUCCCUGAGACACACAUGAAACAUCAGGGACGACUUGACAAUGCCACUUAAAGUGAGCUUAGAAUCUGCCAGAGUGUCUUUAGAGGAGGCACCCAACAAGGAUGUCAAUUGCAAAAGCUUAUCCACUAUUUGAGUCUCGCUCAUAGGUAUCGUACGCGGUAUCUCCUCAAUAGAUUUGGUCUUCUCUUUUUUUUAGCCACACCAACCUCAAAGUCGUUACCACAGACUAUAGGGUAAUUGGUGACCUCCAUGAAAUCUAUUUGUGGAUUCAGAUAAUUGAUGUUUAGGUAUAAAUGCGCGUCUCUAUCUUCUCAGAAUUGGUCAUCUCUAAUAAUCUAUUUUGAACAUUUGAACCCUUUUGUUCAUAUUCUGUCUAGUUUUCUUAAAACCAAACACGUUAAGAAGAAACGAGUAUCAAUUCUUAUAUGAACCAAUGAUAAUAAUUUGUGGUUCAACGAUGAACAGGAUGACCAUGGGGAAGUUGCAAGCUUAGAAUGAUGCCGAAGGAGAGUCUGAUGGCGAACAGAUUGAACAUUCUAUAAUGCCACUGAAAGUGCCUUGGGCAUCUGACAGUUAAAGCUUACAAUAUGAAUUCCGAGCAACUUCUACAAGAAUUUACUUUUUAGAUGGCAAAAAGUUUGCAUCAAAAGAAAGAUUUUUUUUUAAUUUGAAUUAAGUUUCGUCCUUUUUAGAUGGCAACUUCUACAAGAAUUUACUAGUUAAAGAAAGUCUAUACUCAGGGGUUGCUACUUUGUCCUACAAGAGUACUGAGAGAACUCCAAGCAGAAUUCUUGCCGGGUUCUGCCCACUUUCCUGAAGAAGGAAAAGCUCUCCUUCCAGCAUUGUAGUGGUUACAAAAUGCAACACAUUUUUUGUUUGUUAAGUGAUCUUAAAAGGCUAUGGAUGAUGGUGUUGCCCUGCGAUGUACAAAAUCAACUAUUUGGUGUAUAUUCACUAGUCUGACCUUAUAAGUCAAUUUUCAUGUCCGCAAUGAAACUAUCAAGUUUAUGUACAACAUACAAGUAGGGGGAAAAAUUGUUCAAAAAGUUGUUUAAUUUGAGCUCGGGGUAUCAGAAUGUAAGUUAGCUAAAAGCAGUUCCUUUGGAAUGAAC